GCAAGGCAAGGCAAGGCAACUUUAUUUAUAUAGCACUUUUCAUACACAAGGCAGACUCAAAGUGCUUUACCUCUAAACCUAUUGGUUGCUCUCGGCUGACGUACAUUCCAAUCACAUGUGCCGUUCACCGGGCUGUGCGUGAUUGACAGUGCUCUGCCGAUGACACGAAUAACAAGAGACCUUCGCGGUUGACUGUGAUUUCCAUUUUCUGGAACCAUGGCUGGGAGACAGUGUGCCUCUCUGGUAUUGAGCGGGUCUGCAGGAUUGCACUCCGCAAUCAACGCUUUCCAAGCAACUUUCUCCGCUAAGGACAGGAUCUCACGGAGGCUACAUGCAGAGUAAUGUGACCAAUCGAAUCAUCUUCGGCCCGGGCCUGGGAGCAGCAGUACGGAGAGGCAAGGCGAAGAGCUCGCACUAGCGGUCCGGCUCUCGCACUGUGGAACAAAAGUCCCUGGAGCGUGUCACUCUCUCAGCCGUGGAUCUUUGGGACCCCUCUGGGAUUUACCUCCCCUGUCGCUCGUCCACCCAGGAACCAGGAGGCAACAUUUUCCCCUAAUCUUCCCUCGGCCCCCCCUC